AGCCCUGUAGUGUAGUGGUCUAGCACAUGAGGUUCUGGGCCUCGGGACCCAGGUUCAAAUCCUGGCAGGGCUA
rnacentral:tRNA from 1 species